CUACGGGCGGCAGCAGUGAGGAAUUUUGCGCAAUGGGGGCAACCCUGACGCAGCAACGCCGCGUGAGUGAAGAAGGCCCUUGGGUCGUAAAGCUCUGUCAACGGGGAAGAAGUUAUAUGGUGUUAACAGCACCAUGUAUUGACGGUACCCGUGAAGGAAGCAUCGGCUAGCUCCGUGCCAGCAGCCGCGGUAAUACGGGGGAUGCAAGCGUUAUUCGGAAUUAUUGGGCGUAAAGGGCACGCAGGCGGUCCUGUCAGUCAGAUGUGAAAGCCCCGGGCUCAACCCGGGAAGAGCAUUUGAAACAGCAGGACUUGAGUACGGUAGAGGAGAGGGGAAUUCCUGGUGUAGAGGUGAAAUUCGUAGAUAUCAGGAGGAACACCGGUGGCGAAGGCGCCUCUCUGGGCCUGUACUGACGCUGAGGUGCGAAGGCGUGGGUAGCGAACAGGAUUAGAUACCCGAGUAGUC
rnacentral:rRNA from 1 species